UAGGGAAUCUUCGGCAAUGGGGGGAACCCUGACCGAGCAACGCCGCGUGAGUGAAGAAGGUUUUCGGAUCGUAAAGCUCUGUUGUUAAGGAAGAACGAGUGUGAGAAUGGAAAGUUCAUGCUGUGACGGUACUUAACCAGAAAGGGACGGCUAACUACGUGCCAGCAGCCGCGGUAAUACGUAGGUCCCGAGCGUUGUCCGGAUUUAUUGGGCGUAAAGCGAGCGCAGGCGGUUAGAUAAGUCUGAAGUUAAAGGCAGUGGCUCAACCAUUGUAGGCUUUGGAAACUGUUUAACUUGAGUGCAGAAGGGGGGAGUGGAAUUCCAUGUGUAGCGGUGAAAUGCGUAGAUAUAUGGAGGAACACCGGUGGCGAAAGCGGCUCUCUGGUCUGUAACUGACGCUGAGGCUCGAAAGCGUGGGGAGCGAACAGG
rnacentral:rRNA from 1 species